GGGUUGUGAGGUUAAGCGACUAAGCGUACACGGUGGAUGCCCUGGCAGUCAGAGGCGAUGAAGGACGUGCUAAUCUGCGAUAAGCGUCGGUAAGGUGAUAUGAACCGUUAUAACCGGCGAUUUCCGAAUGGGGAAACCCAGUGUGAUUCGUCACACUAUCAUUAACUGAAUCCAUAGGUUAAUGAGGCGAACCGGGGGAACUGAAACAUCUAAGUACCCCGAGGAAAAGAAAUCAACCGAGAUUCCCCCAGUAGCGGCGAGCGAACGGGGAGGAGCCCAGAGCCUGAAUCAGUGUGUGUGUUAGUGGAAGCGUCUGGAAAGGCGCGCGAUACAGGGUGACAGCCCCGUACACAAAAAUGCACAUGCUGUGAGCUCGAUGAGUAGGGCGGGACACGUGGUAUCCUGUCUGAAUAUGGGGGGACCAUCCUCCAAGGCUAAAUACUCCUGACUGACCGAUAGUGAACCAGUACCGUGAGGGAAAGGCGAAAAGAACCCCGGCGAGGGGAGUGAAAAAGAACCUGAAACCGUGUACGUACAAGCAGUGGGAGCCUCUUUUAUGG
rnacentral:rRNA from 1 species